rnacentral:rRNA from 1 species
CCUACGGGUGGCAGCAGUGGGGAAUAUUGGGCAAUGGACGCAAGUCUGACCCAGCAACGCCGCGUGAAGGAAGAAGGCUUUCGGGUUGUAAACUUCUUUUAAGGGGGAAGAGCAGAAGACGGUAUCCCUUGAAUAAGCCACGGCUAACUACGUGCCAGCAGCCGCGGUAAUACGUAGGUGGCAAGCGUUGUCCGGAUUUACUGGGUGUAACGGGCGUGCAGGCGGGAAGACAAGUCAGAUGCGAAAUUCCGCGGCUCAACCGCGGAACUGCAGUUGAAACUGUUUUACUUGUGUAUCGGAGAGGUAGUCGGAAUUCCUGGUGUAGCGGUGAAAUGCGUAGAUAUUAGGAAGAACACCGGUGGCGAAGGCGGAUUACUGGACGACAACUGACGGUGAGGCGCGAAAGCGUGGGGAGCAAACAGGAUUAGAUACCCGAGUAGUC